rnacentral:rRNA from 1 species
AGCUCAAAUUUGAAAGCUGGCCCCUUCGGGGUCCGCGUUGUAAUUUGCAGAGGAUGCUUCGGGUGCAGCCCCCGUCUAAGUGCCCUGGAACGGGCCGUCAUAGAGGGUGAGAAUCCCGUCUGGGACGGGGUGUCUGCGUCCGUGUGAAGCUCCUUCGACGAGUCGAGUUGUUUGGGAAUGCAGCUCUGAAUGGGUGGCAAAUUUCAUCUAAUGCUAAAUACUGACCGGAGACCUAUAGCGCACAAGUAGAGUGAUCGAAAGAUGAAAAGCACUUUGAAAAGAGAGUUAAACAGCACGUGAAAUUGUUGAAAGGGAAGCGUUUGCGACCAGACUCGCCCGCGGGGUUCAGCCGGCAUUCGUGCCGGUGUACUUCCCCGUGGGCGGGCCAGCGUCGGUUUGGGCGGCCGGUCAAAGGCCCUCGGAAUGUAUCACCUCUCGGGGUGUCUUAUAGCCGAGGGUGCAAUGCGGCCUGCCUGGACCGAGGAACG